CCCUUAGAUGUUCUGGGCCGCACGCGCGCUACACUGAUGGAUUCAACGAGUAUUACAUCGUCAUUGACGUUGUUGUCCUUGGUCGGAAGGCCUGGGUAAUCUUGUAAAUGUCCAUCGUGAUGGGGCUAGAUUUUUGCAAUUUUGAAUCUCCAACGAGGAAUUCCUAGUAAACGCAAGUCAUCAGCUUGCAUUGAUUACGUCCCUGCCCUUUGUACACACCGCCCGUCGCACCUACCGAUUGAAUGGUCCGGUGAAAUCUCGGGACGGCGGCUUGGUCGCUUGCGUCCGACUGCUGAAACUUGAUUAAACCAUAUCAUUUAGAGGAAGGUGAAGUCGUAACA
rnacentral:rRNA from 1 species